CCUUUGUUUUUCAACCCUCUUUAUAUAUGUAUAUUUACUUGGUCGUAAACAGUUUGUUCAGUACAAUGGAUAUAAAUCCGUACAAUUUGUAACAUCAGACGUGCCAGAGGGCAUCAAUCUUAACCCAUUGCUAUUCUUGGUCUUUUUAAAUGAACAUUGGCGAUGUUAUAAAUGUCCAUUUUCAAUUAUUUGCAGACGAUUUAAGAUUUUACUUGAUCGUGGAGACUUACGAGGAUUGCGAGAGACUCCAAUGUAGCUUAGACUUUGUUUAGGAAUCUUGCGUUCAGAAUAGGCUAUUAUUGAAUAUCGAUAAGUGUCCGAUGAUGUUUGUUGAAGGAGAUCUCCUGUAAAGUGCGAUUAUUAUGUUGGUCAUUUUAUUCUGGCCAGAACGCACUACAGUACACGAGAUUUGAAAGUAUAAAUUGAAGCGCUCGGGGGAACAAGUCAACAAAGUCAUAUGCCACCUCAAAAGCAACAUGGCCGCACAGAAGCAGGUGUCUGUUGAACGUAAUCUGUGUAAAAACGAAGUUUCUAGUGCUAGUUCGGAAAGUGAUUUCGAUUCAAAUGAUAGUGUAAGAGACCGAAAUUAUAAUCCCGAUGAUAGCAGCUCCGAUUCUUUCACGGACGACGAUUUAUCGGCAAGUAAACAAUAUUGUGGCUUAUGACCGUCUUGCUCUUUUUUGUUGUGGCAUAUGCCUUUUUACUACGAUACUGUAAUAAAUUUAGUUUUUUGGA